UACGUAGGGUGCAAGCGUUAAUCGGAAUUACUGGGCGUAAAGCGUGCGCAGGCGGUUUUGUAAGUCUGAUGUGAAAUCCCCGGGCUCAACCUGGGAAUUGCAUUGGAGACUGCAAGGCUAGAAUCUGGCAGAGGGGGGUAGAAUUCCACGUGUAGCAGUGAAAUGCGUAGAGAUGUGGAGGAACACCGAUGGCGAAGGCAGCCCCCUGGGUCAAGAUUGACGCUCAUGCACGAAAGCGUGGGAGCAAACAGG
rnacentral:rRNA from 1 species